rnacentral:rRNA from 1 species
UGAGGAAUAUUGGACAAUGGAGGCAACUCUGAUCCAGCCAUGCCGCGUGCAGGAAGACUGCCCUAUGGGUUGUAAACUGCUUUUAUACAGGAAGAAACCUUUCCACGUGUGGAGAGCUGACGGUACUGUAAGA